rnacentral:rRNA from 1 species
UACAGAGGGGGCUAGCGUUGUUCGGAAUUACUGGGCGUAAAGGGCGCGUAGGUGGCCUGUUAAGUCGGACGUGAAAUCCCCGGGCUCAACCCGGGAACUGCGUCCGAGACUGGCAGGCUCGAAUCCGGGAGAGGGAUGUGGAAUUCCAGGUGUAGCGGUGAAAUGCGUAGAGAUGUGGAGGAACACCGAUGGCGAAGGCAGCCUCCUGGGCUAGUACUGACGCUCAUGCACGAAAGCGUGGGGAGCAAACAGG